rnacentral:lncRNA from 1 species
AUGACUCCAGCUGCAUGCAGGUAGGAUGAAGUCUUUUCCAUCCUGUGCCGCCCUAGACUGCACCCUGCGUGUCCUCCAAGAGCAGUUCAGCUGAGGAGUCUUCUAGCUGUCACCUCUUAGGUCCUCCCAGCCACCCUGCAGCACUCCCACUACAGAGCCAGUGGCUCUGUUAGAAGACAGCUCAGUGUCUUCUCCUUGGGAAAGACCUUCUCUGAGCCUUGGCUCUCCCAUGGCUUUCAACAGGAUUCCUCAUUGCUCUUGUAUGCAAACAGGACGGGUGGAAAUUUGCUCUUGAUAUUUUGAUGA